UGACUAAUACAACGCCCAAGCCAUAG
rnacentral:piRNA from 1 species